GAUGAAGAACGUAGCGAAAUGCGAAAAGUAAUGUGAAUUGCAGAAUUCAGUGAAUCAUCGAAUCUUUGAACGCACAUUGCGCCCGCCAGUAUUCUGGCGAGCAUGCCUGUUCGAGCGUCAUUUCAACCAUCAAGCCCCAGGCUUGUGUUGGAGCCCUGCGGCUGCCGCAGCCUCCCAAAACCAGUGGCGGGCUCGCUAUCACACCGAGUGCAGUAGUUUACUCUUCGCUCAGGGCGUGUGGCGGGUGCUAGCCGUGAAACCCCCAACUUCUCAAGGUUGACCUCGGAUCAGGUAGGAAUACCCGCUGAACUUAAGCAUAUCAAUAAGCGGAGGA
rnacentral:misc_RNA from 1 species